rnacentral:rRNA from 1 species
CCUACGGGAGGCAGCAGUGGGGGAUAUUGCACAAUGGGGGGAACCCUGAUGCAGCGACGCCGCGUGGGUGAAGAAGCGCCUCGGCGCGUAAAGCCCUGUCAGCAGGGAAGAAAAUGACGGUACCUGAAGAAGAAGCCCCGGCUAACUACGUGCCAGCAGCCGCGGUAAUACGUAGGGGGCAAGCGUUAUCCGGAUUUACUGGGUGUAAAGGGGGCGCAGGCGGGGAUGCAAGCCGGGAGUGAAAGCCCGCGGCCCAACCCGGGGACGGAACUUGAAAUUGCGGGUCUGGAGUGCAGGAGGGGCAGGCGGAAUUCCUGGUGUAGCGGUGAAAUGCGUAGAUAUCAGGAGGAACACCGGUGGCGAAGGCGGCCUGCUGGACUGUUACUGACGCUGAGGCUCGAAAGUGUGGGGAGCAAACAGGAUUAGAUACCCGAGUAGUC